rnacentral:tRNA from 1 species
GUGGGCGUAGCUCAGUUGGUAGAGCACGGGAUUGUGACUCCCGUUGUCGAGGGUUCGACCCCUUCGUCCACCCCA